UUUUUUAGGGAAAUAGACUCUUUAAAUUUAUCAUUUUAUCCCUUUAAAUUUACCAUUUUUCCCUUCAAAAAAUCUUAUAAAUACUUGAGUCAUUCUCCUUAUUAAAUACACAACAAUACAGAGAUCACUUUUUUCUCAAAGCCUCUCUUUUCUCAUUUCUGAAAACUUUUUCCAGUCAAUUAUUCCGAUCAAGUUUUCAGUCUUGUUUUCCUAGCCUAUUUUCCUAAAUUUUUUUUAUAAGAGCAAUACUAAUUGGGUUCCACCUUUUUUAUUCGGGUGUACGAAUAUUGAAGUCCUGUGUUAACCUUGAGGGGCGAUAUCCACUAUACGAUUACACCUAUCAAGGCAGAUUUGCUUCUAAGGCAGUAAUUUUUCCACGACACAGUAAUCAUUUUGUUUAUUUAUGUACAGUUUAUUCUUUCCUAUUAGUGCUAACAGUUUGUUUUGUAAUAGUAUCUUUCCAACAGCAAGCCUAUAUAAAGGUCUGUUCAUUGUUCAUUAGAUACAUAAUUGUUUUCAUUAAUAAAAUUUCAACACCAAGAGUUAGUUUAUUUGUGUAAGAUUUCUUUAUUGUGAUUUUUAGAAGUAGCUUUAUUCUUGAUUUUCUUUAAGGAGUCAUGAGAAUUCAAUCUUCAUCCUUUAUUUGUCACUGAUUAUUUCUUGAAGGGUUGAUUAAAAUCAUUAAUUGAGUUUGUUAGGGUUUAUAUCUUAAACGGUUCAAGUGAACACUUAUCUAUCAUAUCCAUCAGUUUACUCGUUCCAUGAGUCUUUUUUUCUCAAGACAAACAAUUUGUAUACGAUCUUGGUCUAUUUACUUUUUUAUAAAAAAUUAACAUAUCAAAUCUCACAGUGAACCACAGAUUAUGUAUAAUUUUUAUAUUUUUCUUUUUUAUUUUAGUUACAUAUUUUCAUUAGUAAUACUAAAAAAUAUAACUAUAUAUUAAAGCUAUCUCGAUGCAUGGUAUAGCUUAAUUUAAUAUCGAAGAUAGCUAAUAAUAUUGUGCCAAAUCAUUUGUGUCAUUAAAAUUUUUAAUAAUGGUAAUUAUGGUAUUCUCAAAAAUUAAGAAAAAUAUAUUAAGAGUUAAUUAAGAUAUGUUUGCAAAAACAAUAAAUUAUGUGGAGAAAUAGAGCAGAUUAUUAGUAAAUUUUGGUGGCAAAAACAGAAAGCCACGAGGGGAAUACAUUGGUGCAGUUGGAGUAAAUUAAGCACGCUAAAGGAGGACGGUGGGAUGGGUUUCAAAAAUUUGUCCGAAUUUAAUGUGGCCCUUCUCGCAAAACAGGCUGGCGUUUAUUGGAGUAUCCAGAUUCAUUAUUAGCAAAGACUUUAAUGGCUAAAUAUUAUCCAAGCACAUAUUUCAUGCAAGUAGAGUUAGGAAGUUACCCUUUGUAUACCUGAAGGAGUAUUUGGGCAAUAAGGAAAGUCUUGCAAGAUGGAAUGACUUGGAGAGUUGGUAAUGGUGAAAGCAUAUCAAUUUGGCAGGAUGCUUAAGUCCCUGGAUUGGAAAAACAAAUAAUUCUGGAGUCAGUCAAGGAUAAUAAUGUAAUCAGAGUGGCAGAUUCAAUUGAUUUGAAUUCAAGACAAUAGAAGAAGGAAAUUAUUACCAGACUAUUCAAUAACAAUGAGGUAGAGGCAAUCCUGGGCAUCCCUUUGGCAAAACAAUCGUGCGAAGAUAGAAGAGUUUGAAGUGGUGAACCAACAGGGGAAUACACAGUACGGAGUGGAUACAGAAGUUUAUUGAAGAAAAAUACAAACCCAAAAAUAGCCAACAAUGAAGAUACAAGCAAAGAAUAUUACAACAACCUUUGGCAGACAGAUUUGCUAAACAAGAUUAAAAUUACAAAUUGGAGAAUAUACAACAACUAUAUUCUUAUGUUUGGAAAUCUAUACUACAAAAGAGUCAAUAAUUCGGCGUUGUGUCCGAAAUGCAGGGAGGGAACAAAGACUUUGGAACAUGCGAUUAGGGACUGUACUGCAAUAAAGGAAAUCUGGUCAGAAUUAGGGUUUAGUAUGUUAGAGGAAGCAUUAAAUGAGAAUUUACAGGCAUAGAUAAGGAAAAACAAAAUGAUGAACUCCUUUUUUAUGCCAUAUGGGCGAUUUGUGUAAAAUAAAAUGAUGAACUCAAUAGAGAAAUGCAACACAAUGCAAUAUGUGUUUCUCAUAACUUUGAAAGCAAACAACAAUGGCUUUAAAUAGCCUUACAAAAAUAGAAAAGCUAAAAAUAAGCUAACGUAUCCCACUAACUUAUGAAACUAAAAAACUGAAACAAAGACUAAUUAAAAAACAAUAACAAACCAAGAUAUGCUCCUAAUAAUUAGGAACUUAUUCAACAAACAUAAGACUUCUUCAACCUAACAAAACCCUCCCCUAAACUAAACAUACCAGUUGUAUGUUAGUUUAUAUCACUAUAACUUCGAACGCCAAGUGCUUCUCUGAGUUUUUCGAAUUGAUCGAGCUUCAAGGGUUUGGUUAUAAUAUCAGCUACUUGCUCACCAGUUUCGUAGUACUCCAUGCUAAUUGAUCCAUCAGAUAUAAAACUUUUUAGAAAGUGGAACCUUACAUCAAUGUGUUUACUUCUUCCAUGAAAGACUAGAUUUUUUGCAAGCUUAAUGGUAGAGGAGUUAUCACAAAGAAUUUUGACUGAUUUACUUUGGGUACCUUUAAUUUGCUUCCAAAUUCGCUGCAUCCAUACACUUUGACAAGCACAUGAGGCAACAGCUACAUACUCUGUUUCUGUAGUUGACGAAGUAACAACGGGUUGCUUCUUUGAUGCCCAAGCUACUGCUCCUUCACUUAGCAUAAAGACAUAGCCUGAAGUACUCUUCUGAUCACACAAAUCUCCAGCAUAAUCACUGUCUAUGUACUCCAUCAGUUCAUGUGUGCAAAUCCUCUUGUAAAGAAUGCCAAAAUAUGUGGUAGCUUGAACAUAUCUCAGAAUUCUUUUAGCUACCAGCAUAUGCGCUUCCAUUGGAUUUGAUAUGAAUCUACUGAUCAGACAUACACUGUACAACAGAUAAGGUCUUGUGAUUGUCAUGUACAUUAAACUUCCUACGAUUUGCUUGAAUAAGGUUUCAUCGACUUGUGCUCAUUCUUCCUCAUUUGACAAUUUGCUGCCAGAAACUAUUGGAUUCUUGACUCCAUUGCAAGCCUCCAUUCUGAAUUUUUCAAGAACUUCAUUGGCAUAUUUCUUUUGGUUGAUGAAUAUCCCAUUAGUGCCUUGAUAUACUUCUAUUCCAAAAAAGCACUUAAUCUCACCCAGAUUAGUCAUUUCAAACUCAUUUUUCAUUGAGUUUUUGAAACCUUGCAUCAUUAACAAAUCAUUACUUGUAAAAAUGAGAUCAUCAACAUAGAGACUUACAAUCAGAAUCUUGUUAUCCUCACGCUUCUUGACAAACAAAGUGUGAUCACAGCAGCUCUUUUCGAAACCUUCUUUGAUAAAGUAUCCUUCAAUUCUGCUGAACUAUACUCUCGGAGCUUGUUUUAAGCCGUAGAGAGCCUCCUUCAAUUUGUACACUUUGUCCUCUUCUCCCUUCACUUCACAACCUUAUGGUUGAGCGACGUAUACAUCUUCACUGAAUUCACCAUGUAGAAAGGAAAUUUUGACGUCGAGCUGAAAGACUUUCCAGCCAUUUCUUGCUACAAGAGCUAAUACCAUUCGAAUAGUAUCCCAUCUUGUUACAGAAGCGAACACCUCAUUACAGUCUAUCCCCUUCUCUUGAACAUAUUCCUUGGCCACCAAUCUCGUCUUGCACUUAUCAAUUUCUCCAUUUUUGUUCAAUUUUUUUCUAUAGACCCACUUGACUCCAAUCACUUUUACAUCGGAGGGAGUUUUUACCCACUUCCAUGUAUGAUUCUUCUCUAUUGCUUCAAUUUCAAGAUCCAUCGCCUUCCUCCAAUCUUUUGAUUUUACUACUUGUUCAUAGGAUAAAGGAUCAUCAGUAGAUAAAAAUAACACAAAGUUUUGUACCUCAUCUUCUGGGAUACCUUCCCCACUCGUGCACUCAUCUAGAUAUGCUGGAGCCCUUCUUUCUCAAGUUUGAGGAGCUGCUACUUCAUCAUUGGAGAGAUUUACUGCUUCACUUGAGGUAGAGUUCUCAUCAGCUGAAUCUUCGUCGUUUAAAUUUGAUUCAUCUUCAUCAUUUUAAUUCUAUGAUUCUUCAUAGGUUUCUCCCCAAUCUAAUACAUCAUUUAUGGUUUCUUCUUUUGUACUGCUCCAAUUUCAACCUUUAUUUUAUUCAAAAACCACGUCUCUGCUGAUGGUGAUUUUCUUUGUCAGUGGAUCAAUCAUUUUAUAACCUUUGGAUUUUUUGCUGUAACCGAUCAAAACUUGCUUUUGGCUUCUUGCAUCUAGCUUUUGUCUUUUUGCCUCGGGUACAUAAACAUUUCCAAUGCAUCUAAACACCCGAAAGUAUUCAACAUUGGGUUUGAGGUUACUCCAGCAUUCUUCAGGGGUUUUAUUCUUCAAACAGGUAGUGAGACUUCUGCUUAACACAUGGCACGUCCACUUUACAACAUCUGGCCAGAACAUUUUCGGCAUCUUUUUUUCUUCAAGCAUGCAUCUCACCAUGUUGAGAAUGACACGAUUUUUAUGCUCAGAAAAUCCAUUUUGCUUAAGUGUAUAAGCUGUUGUAAGUUGCCUUUUGAUGCCUUGUGCCUUGCAAAAAUUUGAGAACUCCUCAGAGUUGAAUUCUCCUCCUCUGUCUAUUCUUAAACUCUUUUUGCUAUAUGAUGCAAGUGAAAUGGGGCCACAAAUAUCAAAGAGGAUGAGCUGCAGUUGCUUUGUUGCCCUCCAUUUACUCUUCUUUGGAAUAGCUUCUCUAUGUUGUUUUCCUACCAUGCAGCUAGUGCAUCUAUUUGUUGGUGUUCUAAUUUUAGGAAGCCCUUGAACCAUCUCAUUGUUAUGCAAUAAUGCCAAAUGUUUGUAACUCAGAUGUCCAUAUUGUUUGUGCCAAAUAUCGCUGGAAUCCUCAUUGUAUGAUUGAAGUAGGAGGUUGAUGUCAUGAGAAUAUUUGUGGUGACCACAAACAUUCUGUUGGCAGUCAUUAUACUUUCCAUUAUAAGCCCACGAGUUGGAUGGUAUAUCUUGCAAGCUUCAUGUUUGAUCAGAAUAGUGAUGCCUUGAUCUUGUAAUUAACCUAUACUGAUCAAAUUAUUGCAUAAAUCAGGUAUAAAAUACACAUCACUUACUGUUUGGACUUUUCUUCCAAAUUCCAGCUUGAUGUCCCAUUUUCUUUUCACCAUCAGUUUAAAGCCGUCCCAAGUUUUAUCGAAUGCUUGAAUCCUUCAUCAUGUCUUAUUAACCAUUCUUUGUUUCUAGACAUGUGAUUUAAACACCCAAAAUCGAGAAAUCAUACUCCUUCCCUUUUGUUUUACUUUGCAUCUACUUAUGCAAUCAGCAACAUCUCGUCUUCAUCAUCAAUUUCUACAUAAUGACCUUUCUUUUCCCAAUUGGGACAUUCAUACUGAUAAUUCCUUAAAUUGUGACACUUGUAGCAUUCUACAAUUGCUUUAUCUAUACUUUGUCUACCACGACCUCUUCGUCUUCCUCGACCUUUAGUCCAGCCUCUGCCUCUUCCACCUCGAUCUUCAUUUGUGACCUUCAAGACCUGCCCUUCUUCAAUUGGGCCUAUCAUUCUUUGUUUAUGAAUCAACAAACUGCUUUGAAUUUCAUCUAUUGUUAGAGUCUCAACAUUAUUUGAUUCAUCAACUGAGCAUACAGCAUAAUUAAAUUUAGGAACUAAGGAUCACAAAAUCUUCCCUGUAAUAUCAGCUUUUUUGACAUUCUCUCCGUAUAGUUUCAUCUUCUUGGCAAUUGAGAGAGUUCUUCCGAAAUAAGCAUUGACAGUUUCUCCUUCUUUCAUUCUCAAUAUUUCAAACUCAAUUUUUAGAGCUUGAAGUUCUGCUCUCUUGACCCUUGUUGAUCCCUUGAAUUUCUACUUCAUUGAAUCCCAUAUCUGUUUGGAUGUAUCAUCAUUGAGAAUGGUAUCCAUGAUUUCUCUACUUAUUGCUUGGUAGAGAUAACACUUCACUUUCCUGUCUUUCAAUUGCGGUUCUUCAAACAGCUUUACCUCUUCUUCAGAUGGUUUUCUCCCUGCUGGAAUUUUAUCUAUUCCAUCUUCUACUAGGCUCUAAAAUUCCUUUGCUCUAAGGAAAUUCACCAUCAACUUUGCCCAGUGUUCAUAGUACCCAUCAAAUUUGAGAACAGCAGCUUGCACAAACGCAUCACUGUUGGAACUGCUUUCCGCCAUUCUUCACACUCUUCUCUCGUGUUUCUCUCAAAAGAAAACUCUAUUCUUUUCUUCAAUCAGGCUUCUUAGACCAGGCUCCGACACCAAAUAUAAAAUAAAAUGAUGAACUCAAUAGAGAAACGUAACACAAUGCAAUCUGUAUUUCUCAUAAUUUUGAAAGAAAACAACAAUGGCUUUAAAUAGCCUUACAAAAACAGAAAUGCUAAAAAAAGCUAACGUAUCCCACUAACUCAGGAAACUAAAAAACUGAAACAAUGACUAAUUCAAAAACAAUAAAAAACUAAGAUAUGCUCCUAAUAAUUAGGAACUUAUUCAACAAACAUAAGACUUCUUCAAACCUAACAAUUUGGAUGGGACGAAAUAGAGUUUGACAUGAAAAAAUACAACAAUCAGCCACAAAACAGUACGAUUUAUUAGAAAGUAUAUAGAAGAAUGGUCGUUAGUACAAAAUAACAUACUGAGGCAGAAAAGCGACAUCGAAUGAUAGAAACCACUGGACCAUAAUAUUACCAAAAUAAACUUUGAUGGGGCCUAUAAUAAACAAAGGAAAAGAUCAGGAACGAGCAUAAUCUGCAGGAACUCAAAAGGUGAAAAUUUGGGCGUUAAAAUGACAAUUAAUGCACGAGUACCUACACCCUUCGCGGGGGAGGCGCUAGCCUGUUUACAAAUAGUACAUGUGGGGUUAGAUUUAAGACUCCGACGAGUAGUCAUCGAAGGAGGUGCACUCAGUAUUAUACGAUGAGUUCAAACAUCAAAAGAGGAUCGGUCAGUGUUAUGUUUAUACAUACAAGAUAUACAAAUACUAAGCAGAGGAUUUGAAGAGUGUCAUUCUUAGAAAAUCUCUAGAUCUGGCAAUGGAGUUGCACAUGAAUUUGCAAGAGUAGCAGUGGAGAGUCUAAGAAACAUUGACCUGGAGAAUCGAUUAUCGAGGAAGGCGCUACUGGCACUGAAGGAAGACGAGAGGAACCUGGCAAUGCCUGGAAAAGAAGAAAGACCUGAAACGCAUGGGUAACAGACGAGGAAAUGAGACACUAGGGAUCAAUCGAAGGAAAUACUCACUGAAAGAGUGGUUGCUGAAGGGGAAUUGUGAGAAAUAGGGCAUGUGAAAUGACAGAGGAGAGGAACUAGAAAAGGAUACUAAAAAAGGACGAGGUAAUCAAUGAGAGAGUCUUGGGAACUGAUAGUGGGUAAUCAAAUAUUGGAAAAUGGUGGAGGCUAUCUCAGGUAAGAUGCUGGACAUUGGGGAUAAUGAAAUGGGGCCUGAUAAGUUUAGGUGUUUUUUAGUUAUUGGGCUAUGAUAGGAAUGAUUUUUCUUAG
rnacentral:lncRNA from 1 species